rnacentral:rRNA from 1 species
AGUGGCGUACGGGUGAGUAACACGUGGAUCAUCUACCUCUGGGUGGGGAAUACCCCCGGGAAACUGGGGACAAUUCCGCAUACCCUCGCGAGAGGAAAGCCGAAAGGCGCCCGGAGAGGAGUCCGCGGCUAAUUAGCUUGUUGGCGGGGUAACGGCCCACCAAGGCGAAGAUCGGUAGCCGGCCUGAGAGGGCACACGGCCACACUGGCACUGAAACACGGGCCAGACUCCUACGGGAGGCAGCAGUGGGGAAUCUUGCACAAUGGGGGAAACCCUGAUGCAGCGACGCCGCGUGAGCGAUGAAGCCCAUCGGGGUGUAAAGCUCUUUCGACGGGAACGAUAAUGACGGUACCCGAAGAAGAAGCUGCGGCUAACUACGUGCCAGCAGCCGCGGUAAUACGUAGGCAGCAAGCGUUGUUCGGAAUUACUGGGCGUAAAGAGUGUGUAGGCCGCGCUCUAAGUUCGGUGUGAAAUCUCCCGGCUCAACUGGGAGGGUGCGCCGAA